rnacentral:lncRNA from 13 species
GCACUCUCAGCUCGCAUUUAACAAAGCCUUUCUGCAGACCAUGAACCAUAGAGACGAGGCAGGUGGCAGACCGCAUGUAGCAUGAU